rnacentral:rRNA from 1 species
GGGACACGUGGUAUCCUGUCUGAAUAUGGGGGGACCAUCCUCCAAGGCUAAAUACUCCUGACUGACCGAUAGUGAACCAGUACCGUGAGGGAAAGGCGAAAAGAACCCCGGCGAGGGGAGUGAAAAAGAACCUGAAACCGUGUACGUACAAGCAGUGGGAGCACGCUUAGGCGUGUGACUGCGUACCUUUUGUAUAAUGGGUCAGCGACUUAUAUUCUGUAGCAAGGUUAACCGAAUAGGGGAGCCGAAGGGAAACCGAGUCUUAACUGGGCGUUAAGUUGCAGGGUAUAGACCCGAAACCCGGUGAUCUAGCCAUGGGCAGGUUGAAGGUUGGGUAACACUAACUGGAGGACCGAACCGACUAAUGUUGAAAAAUUAGCGGAUGACUUGUGGCUGGGGGUGAAAGGCCAAUCAAACCGGGAGAUAGCUGGUUCUCCCCGAAAGCUAUUUAGGUAGCGCCUCGUGAAUUCAUCUCCGGGGGUAGAGCACUGUUUCGGCAAGGGGGUCAUCCCGACUUACCAACCCGAUGCAAACUGCGAAUACCGGAGAAUGUUAUCACGGGAGACACACGGCGGGUGCUAACGUCCGUCGUGAAGAGGGAAACAACCCAGACCGCCAGCUAAGGUCCCAAAGUCAUGGUUAAGUGGGAAACGAUGUGGGAAGGCCCAGACAGCCAGGAUGUUGGCUUAGAAGCAGCCAUCAUUUAAAGAAAGCGUAAUAGCUCACUGGUCGAGUCGGCCUGCGCGGAAGAUGUAACGGGGCUAAACCAUGCACCGAAGCUGCGGCAGCGACGCUGAUGCGUUGUUGGGUAGGGGAGCGUUCUGUAAGCCUGCGAAGGUGUGCUGUGAGGCAUGCUGGAGGUAUCAGAAGUGCGAAUGCUGACAUAAGUAACGAUAAAGCGGGUGAAAAGCCCGCUCGCCGGAAGACCAAGGGUUCCUGUCCAACGUUAAUCGGGGCAGGGUGAGUCGACCCCUAAGGCGAGGCCGAAAGGCGUAGUCGAUGGGAAACAGGUUAAUAUUCCUGUACUUGGUGUUACUGCGAAGGGGGGACGGAGAAGGCUAUGUUGGCCGGGCGACGGUUGUCCCGGUUUAAGCGUGUAGGCUGGUUUUCCAGGCAAAUCCGGAAAAUCAAGGCUGAGGCGUGAUGACGAGGCACUACGGUGCUGAAGCAACAAAUGCCCUGCUUCCAGGAAAAGCCUCUAAGCAUCAGGUAACAUCAAAUCGUACCCCAAACCGACACAGGUGGUCAGGUAGAGAAUACCAAGGCGCUUGAGAGAACUCGGGUGAAGGAACUAGGCAAAAUGGUGCCGUAACUUCGGGAGAAGGCACGCUGAUAUGUAGGUGAAGCGACUUGCUCG